UGUGGUUUUCAAACAAGCACAACUUUUA
rnacentral:piRNA from 1 species